ensembl:lncRNA
GUGAUUCAUUUGAAAAGAAUAAUAAGUUUAUUGUAACAUAAAUACAGUUGAACCUCCAUAUCUGCUGGUCUGCAUACAUAGGUCAGCCAGCAGUGGAUUGAAAAAUAGUGUUUAAAAAAACAAUCCAGAAAGUUCCAAAAACAAAAUAAUUUGCCAUGUUUGGGUGACUGUAUAGCAUUUAUAUUAUAUUUAUGAUGGUUUACAUAGUAUUUGCUUUGCAUUAGGUAUUGUAAGUAAUCUAGAGAUGAUUUCAAGUUUGCAGAAGGAUGCACAAAGGUUAUAUUCAAAUACUGUGCCAUUAUAUAUGAGGGACUUGAGCAUUUGUGGAUUUGGGAACCAGGAGAGUGACCCUGGAACAAAUACCCCAUGGAUAUUGGGAGACAACUGUAAUGUGUUUUGUUAAAAAUAUAUUUUCAAAGUAAAAAUGAGAAGAAAGGCAUUGUUCUACUUUUUUGCAAAACUCCAUAACGUACGGCUUAUAAGAAAAUAUUCUCGUAUCUAUUUUUCCAUUCACUCUGACAUUAUAUGUGAUUUUGAUAGAAGUAUAAGACAAUUUGGCCUGAUACAGAUAUGUAGAGGAAAGGGGAAGGAUCUCAUGAACGCUUUGAAAGCAUCUUGAUCUGCAGUGGUCAUUGAACCACACUUUAGGAAUAGCUUGUCCAGUGGAAAGAAGUAUCUUUGGAGACUCAGAAACUUGGUUGAAAAUCACCAAUCUGCUACUUAACAGCUCAUGUGGUUUUUGAGCAAGUUACUUAGCCUCUCAGUCUUCCUUCGCCAUUUUUUUCCUUCGCCUUUUAAAUGAGGGUUUUAUAAGGAGGAAACACGAUCACGCCUGUAAAUUUGUGUGUGUGUUAGUUGCUCUGCAACUCCGUGGACUGUAGAGCCUGGUAGGCUACAGUCCAGGGGGUCGCAAAGAGUCUGACAUGACUGAGCGACUUCACUUUCUUUCUCUUUCUUUUCCCAGGUGGCUCUGGUAAAUAAUCCGCCUGUCAGUGCAGGAUACGCAGGAAACACUGGGUGGGGAAGAACCCCUGGAGUAGGAAAUGGCAACCCGCUGCAGUAUUCUUGCCUGAAAAAUUCCAUAGACAGAGGAGCCUGGAGGGUUAAAGUCCAUGAGGUUGCAAAGAGUCGAACAUGACUGAAUGAGCACACUCAUACACG